ACCUGACUUGACCUCAGGCGCUGGGACGGUGCCCUCCGCGCGCCCGUCACUUGUUUGCACGAUGACGUUGCAUUCUCACAGCCUGCCCCUGGGAGGGGUGCCGUCGCCCCACUUUCAUCCUGAGGGCAGCAACCCUGGGAAGCCAAGUGGGAUCACCCCCAUUCUGCAGAUGAAGAAACUGAGGCCCACAAGUCAUUUGCCCACUGAGCCACACCAGCCGGACUGAGAUUUUCGAACAACCAGAGGAAACGGCAGAUGCAAAGGUCCUGAGGCCAGAAGGAGCUUGUGAGCAAGGAGCAGAAAACGGAGCAUGCCCAGGGCCUGUCACCGUGGAAACGUGGUACUCGGGCCACCUCUACCUACCGUCCAUACCAUACUGCACAUCAAACAGCCGACCCAGCCUGUGACCGGGUGGUGCCCAAAGGAUCGACACUCAACCACUGAGCCACACCGGCCGGGCAAGACUGCCUUCUCUUUAAAGGAUGAAUCAUAUCUCAUUGUGUGGAUGGGCCGUAUCUUCUUCACGCACUAAUCCAUUGAUGGAAACUGGACUUCUGCCUUUUGGCAGUUGGGAAGAAUGUGCUAUGAACAUAGACGCCACCAAGCAUCUCCUCGGAAAUCGCUGCCCCGAAGGAAAUGUUCUGUCCAGGCCCCUCUGCAGCAGCCGGACACAGCGCCCAGGCGCAGGGAGGCAGGCCGGGGGAGGGGGAUGCAGAAUGCCGCCCACCUGUGUCCUCUCAGGCACGUCUCAGCACCUCUCCGAGCCUCCGCUUCUGACUUAUAGAGUGGACAUGCUAAUUCCUGCUUGUUGUCUCUCAGGACUGAUGUGAGCCCAGAUUAAUAUCCCUUUAUAAUAAAGACUACAGUCCGGCCUGUGUGGCUCAGUGGUUGAGUGUCGACCCUGCACCAAGAGGUCGCUGGUUCGAUUCCCGGUCAGGGCACAGGCCCA